rnacentral:lncRNA from 1 species
GUAAUUUUUGAUUUUAUAAAAAUGGAUAAUUACCACGUGAAUCACUGUUUACAUUUACUCGGAAGAAAUUGUUCCGAGUAUUCCUUAUUUUGAUUGGUCAAUUUGUUACCUGGAUACAGGACGCUCUUAUAUAUUUCUUUGUUUCGGGAUUCGCGGUACAUUUAAUUUAGAUAGGUUUACUUGUCAUUUGAGAUGAAUUUCUCAAGUGGAGUUAAAGGAUUAGAUAUGGUUGAAUUUCAUGUUUCUACCAUACUUCCUUUGGGUUUUUUUUAGUUUAUGGUUGAUAUUAUUUCUUCCAAACUAAAAUUUGGAUUAUUUUAUUUUAUUUUCCGUAUUAUUAAAGAUUGUUUGGUUAAGAUGUAGUUAGGUUUAUUUAUAUUAAUAUGUACUAAUAUUUUUAUUUUUAUAUUGCAGGUAAGGGACUCUUUUCAGUGAGUAUUGUUCACACUGUUGGGUGCUGUUUCUUUUCAUAUGAGAUAUUGUUUCUUGUAUGGAGAAAAGUUUAUGUUCAGGGUUGAUAUUGUUUCUUCCUUGCUUGCUUUAAUUAUUUAGUUUUUGCUUGAUAUUAUUUCUUGCAUGCUAGAUUAAUAAGCUUAAAUUGUGUAUUGUUUAUAUGAUAGUUAAAAUUAAUCUGCUUAAUUCUUUGUUCAACACAGUUGUUUGUUUAUUUUUUGGCGGCCGUUGGC